GAACGCUGGCGGCAUGCCUUACACAUGCAAGUCGAACGGCAGCACGGGCUUCGGUCUGGUGGCGAGUGGCGAACGGGUGAGUAAUAUAUCGGAACGUACCCAGUAGUGGGGGAUAACUAUCCGAAAGGAUAGCUAAUACCGCAUACGAUCUAGGGAUGAAAGCAGGGGAUCUUCGGACCUUGUGCUAUUGGAGCGGCCGAUAUCUGAUUAGCCAGUUGGUGAGGUAAAAGCUCACCAAGGCGACGAUCAGUAGCUGGUCUGAGAGGACGACCAGCCACACUGGAACUGAGACACGGUCCAGACUCCUACGGGAGGCAGCAGUGGGGAAUUUUGGACAAUGGGCGCAAGCCUGAUCCAGCAAUGCCGCGUGAGUGAAGAAGGCCUUCGGGUUGUAAAGCUCUUUUGUCAGGGAAGAAAAGGUGCGCUCUAACAUAGCGUACUGAUGACGGUACCUGAAGAAUAAGCACCGGCUAACUACGUGCCAGCAGCCGCGGUAAUACGUAGGGUGCAAGCGUUAAUCGGAAUUACUGGGCGUAAAGCGUGCGCAGGCGGUUUUAUAAGUCUGAUGUGAAAUCCCCGGGCUCAACCUGGGAACUGCAUUGGAGACUGUAAGGCUAGAGUGUGUCAGAGGGGGGUAGAAUUCCACGUGUAGCAGUGAAAUGCGUAGAUAUGUGGAGGAAUACCGAUGGCGAAGGCAGCCCCCUGGGAUAACACUGACGCUCAUGCACGAAAGCGUGGGGAGCAAACAGGAUUAGAUACCCUGGUAGUCCACGCCCUAAACGAUGUCUACUAGUUGUCGGGACUUAAUUGUCUUGGUAACGCAGCUAACGCGUGAAGUAGACCGCCUGGGGAGUACGGUCGCAAGAUUAAAACUCAAAGGAAUUGACGGGGACCCGCACAAGCGGUGGAUGAUGUGGAUUAAUUCGAUGCACGCGAAAA
rnacentral:rRNA from 1 species